UUGUGGACCGUAUCCAACGGGUAGUAUGGUGUUAUGUAGCAAAUUUUUUUCACCCUACGAGUUGGUUCAUGGUACCUCAUGAAAUAAUCGUUGAAGUAACGAGAUAAUUCUGAUAGCGUCUACACUAGUACCAAGUACAAAGCGUCGUAGACUUCAUCAAUAUGCUCCAAUUUGACAUUGCACAUCACUGCUGCUGGGGCGGAUGGCUGAGUUGCCAUAGUAAAAAUUAAAUUUUAGAUACUUAGGAAGAGAGUAAAUAAGAUAGUGUGUGAGAAAUUGAAGAAUGAUGGUAUAUAUUUAUAGGGAAGAAGAAAAUAUGAUUUUUAACACAUUUGUCAUUGGACCAAUGAGAAUAGGACAACACAUGUGGGGUAGUGUUUGUUAAAAAAUUGAUUGAGUGAGGGAGUAUCCAAUUUAUGGAAUCUCUAAGAUUGAAGUUGAAAGACAUAUGCAUGCAACAUAAAAAGCAUUCAAAAGGCAAAUGUAUGUCCUAUCCAAUCAAUAAAAACAUUUAACCUAUACCUCUUUUAAUCAAAUCCAGGAUAAAACAAAAAUAAAAUAAUACUUACAUCUUAUAGUACUUUGACCAAUGUAAGAACCUUAACUUUAAUCUUAAUUGAAGGACAAUGCCUGAUUAUAAUGUCAUGAUUUAUUUAUGUCAUUUUGGAAAAUAUUAGCACCAUAUUUCUAUAAAUAGUUUCAAUCACACCUUUUGAGACUUGAGUGGAAGAAAAUACUCGAGCAAAAAUACGUUCUUUCUAAACUCUAUCAGCAAUACUCUGUCAAAAACUUUUUUUUAAAAGAAAGAAUACUCUC
rnacentral:lncRNA from 1 species